UAACUACGGCAGUGGUCAAGGCAGACACAGUGGUAACUUUGGCCCCGGCGGCCAAGGCGGCUUUGGUCCAGGGCAAGGGGCCAACAAGGAUUUGGACCUAGCCAUCAACAAGGAUUUGGUCCUGGAGGUCAAGGGGGUUUCGGCCCUGACAACCAGGGCGGGUUUGGACACGGCGGUCAGGGAGCUUUUGGCGGUCAAGGUGGUCACGGACACGGUGGUCCGGGGAACUUAGGUGGACACCGCGGCGGUUACCAGGAGUACGGAUAUUAAAUUAUUAUUA